rnacentral:lncRNA from 1 species
UUACACCAUAUUGACCCAUUCUUUUCUUAGGCAAUGAUGGGCGAGUUGAUCAUUUUCUCAUCAUAAAAAGUUUGGUACUGAGUUGAUCAUUUUCUCAUCAUAAAAAGUUUGGUACUGAGUUGAUCAUUUUCUUGUCAUAUAAAUAUAACGAAUGUCUCUUCUUCUUAAACUUUAGUCCUCGUUCAUACUUUGGGGUAAAAGUCU